rnacentral:rRNA from 1 species
GACGAACGCUAGCUACAGGCUUAACACAUGCAAGUCGAGGGGCAGCACGGAGAUAGCUUGCUAUCUUGGGUGGCGACCGGCGCACGGGUGAGUAACGCGUAUCCAACCUGCCCAUUACUCAGGGAUAGCCUUGCGAAAGUAAGAUUAAUACCUGAUGUUGUUAAAAACCCGCAUGAGUUUUUAACCAAAGAUUUAUUGGUAAUGGAUGGGAUGCGUGACAUUAGGUAGUUGGUGAGGUAACGGCUCACCAAGCCUACGAUGUCUAGGGGUUCUGAGAGGAAGGUCCCCCANACUGGAACUGAGACACGGUCCAGACUCCUACGGGAGCAGCAGUGGGGAAUAUUGGGCAAUGGGCGAAAGCCUGACCCAGCAAACGCCGCGUGAAAGGAAGAAGGUCUUCGGAUCGUAAAACUUCUGUCCCAAGUGAAGA